rnacentral:rRNA from 1 species
AGAGUUUGAUCCUGGCUCAGGACGAACGCUUGCGGCGUGCCUAAGAAAUGCAAGUCGAGCGGGGUUAUGCGCUGAACGAAGCUUCGGCUAAGUUCUUGUAUAAUCUAGCGGCGAACGGUCGCGUAACACGUAAGCAACCCGCCCUGAAGUGUGGGAUAGCCCUCCGAAAGGAGGAUUAAUACCGCAUGUGGAUAUCUCCCCGCAUGAGGAGACAUCUAAAGCAGCAAUGCGCUUCAGGAUGGGCUUGCGGCCUAUCAGCUAGUUGGUGGGGUAAUGGCCUACCAAGGCGACGACGGGUAGCUGGUCUGAGAGGACGAUCAGCCGGAUUGGGACUGAGAUACGGCCCAGACUCCUACGGGGGGCAGCAAUUAGGAAUCUUGCACAAUGGGGGAAACCCUGAUGCAGCGACGCCGCGUGAGUGAUGAAGUUUUUCGGAAUGUAAAACUCUGUCCUUCGGGGAAGAAGAAUG